rnacentral:rRNA from 1 species
GAUGAACGCUAGCUACAGGCUUAACACAUGCAAGUCGAGGGGUAACAUUAAGUUAGCUUGCUAACUUAGAUGACGACCGGCGCACGGGUGAGUAACGCGUAUCCAACCUGCCCCAUACCAGGGAAUAGCCUUUCGAAAGAAAGAGUAAUGCCCUAUGUUAUCCCAUGCAGACAUCCAAAUGGGAUCAAAGAUUCAUCGGUACGGGAUGGGGAUGCGUCUGAUUAGGUUGUUGGCGGGGUAACGGCCCACCAAACCGACGAUCAGUAGGGGUUCUGAGAGGAAGGUCCCCACAUUGGAACUGAGACACGGUCCAAACUCCUACGGGAGGCAGCAGUGAGGAAUAUUGGUCAAUGGCCGAGAGGCUGAACCAGCCAAGUAGCGUGAGGGAUGACGGCCCUAUGGGUUGUAAACCUCUUUUAUACGGGGAUAAAGUGAGCCACGUGUGGUUCAUUGCAGGUACCGUACGAAUAAGGACCGGCUAAUUCCGUG